rnacentral:rRNA from 1 species
GUAGGUGGCAAGCGUUGUCCGGAAUUAUUGGGCGUAAAGCGCGCGCAGGCGGUUCUUUAAGUCUGAUGUGAAAGCCCACGGCUCAACCGUGGAGGGUCAUUGGAAACUGGAGAACUUGAGUACAGAAGAGGAAAGCGGAAUUCCACGUGUAGCGGUGAAAUGCGUAGAGAUGUGGAGGAACACCAGUGGCGAAGGCGGCUUUCUGGUCUGUAACUGACGCUGAGGCGCGAAAGCGUGGGGAGCAAACAGGGAUUAGAUACCCUGGUAGUCCACGCCGUAAACGAUGAGUGCUAAGUGUUAGGGGGCUUUCCGCCCCCCUUAGUGCUGCAGCUAACGCAUUAAGCACUCCGCCUGGGAGUACGGCCGCAAGGCUG